UGACCUCGGAUCAGGUAGGAAUACCCGCUGAACUUAAGCAUAUCAAUAAGCGGAAG
rnacentral:rRNA from 1 species